CAGAGGACAUCCUUACAGCCCAUCAGAACUCUUGCUGCCUGAACUGACUUGUCCGUCAAAACAAAGGAUCAGAGAAUGAACCUAGUACUAAACGCAUAAGCUACAGCUAGCUAGCACUGCAUAAAAUGUUGAGUAGUUGACUCAAAGAGAGAGAAAGACAAUAGUUUAACAAAUACAUUACUUCCAAAAUGAUGGAGAAUCAUCACAUACUUAGCAAAUGCAGCUAGCUGGUUUAGCCUACAGAAACAGGGGGACGUUAUGUUAGCUAGCUGGCUGCGACUUUCCAACACCACACUGGAAGUCUUCCAAGUCAAGGAAUUUAUCUUUCAGCAUAAAAAUAUCCUGCCUCUUCUUCACCAGUGAAUCAGGCAGCACUUCAGGGUCAUCGCUGAUGAAAGGCCUGCAAAAUGACAAGGAGGAGAUACUUGAGGACAAAGAGUAUGCGAUUGAGACACAGACACACAUACACAGGACAGGCAGGUGAACAUCGACUGGCAGAGAAGCAGCUGAACUGGUUCCCCCCUAGCCCUUCUAGUUUGAUGCUGACAGAGGUGGCUGCUGCACAUGCUAAACUGGUGGUGCAGGUCGUAAAAAUGCUCUAGCCUGGUCCCAGAUCCCUCUAGCCUGGGCUUGCUAACUCCUAAUGUAUGAUAUGGUUAUGAUAGUAAUGUAGGCCCUAACAUGCACUUUGUUUUCAGGUUUGAAUGAGACAAUAUAUUCCCCUAACCUUAUUAUUUUAAUAAAGUUAUUGUUUAUGAAUAUUA